GACGAACGCUGGCGGCGUGCUUAACACAUGCAAGUCGAACGGAAAGGCCCUGCUUUUGUGGGGUGCUCGAGUGGCGAACGGGUGAGUAACACGUGAGUAACCUGCCCUUGACUUUGGGAUAACUUCAGGAAACUGGGGCUAAUACCGGAUAGGAGCUCCUGCUGCAUGGUGGGGGUUGGAAAGUUUCGGCGGUUGGGGAUGGACUCGCGGCUUAUCAGCUUGUUGGUGGGGUAGUGGCUUACCAAGACUUUGACGGGUAGCCGGCCUGAGAGGGUGACCGGCCACAUUGGGACUGAGAUACGGUCCAGACUCCUACGGGAGGCAGCAGUGGGGAAUAUUGCACAAUGGGCGGAAGCCUGAUGCAGCAACGCCGCGUGCGGGAUGACGGCCUUCGGGUUGUAAACCGCUUUCGCCUGUGACGAAGCGUGAGUGACGGUAAUGGGUAAAGAAGCACCGGCUAACUACGUG
rnacentral:rRNA from 1 species